rfam:Jeotgalibacillus campisalis strain SF-57 contig00021, whole genome shotgun sequence.
GGGGACGUUACGGAUUCGACAGGAAUGGUUCGAGCUUGAGUCGCGAGCCGGAGGGAUCGUCUUCGUCAUCAACGUCAACACAAAUAGUUAACAACAAACAAGAUUUAGCUCUAGCUGCCUAAUACGCACUUGAGGCCUCACCUGUCUAUCGCCCAUGUAGACCUGAAUGAGGCUCACUAAUCAGUGGGAUACGCUGUUCGGCCACCAUCUGAGGUCGACUGAAGAGACCAAUCAGAUUAGCCACUUGGACGCCUGUCAAUCGGCAUAAGAGCUGGCGAAUUGCGAAUGGAUUGAAUACGCUCGUAGACGCUUAAGUGUUGAAGUUUCUGGACGUGGGUUCGACUCCCACCGUCUCCACCA